rnacentral:tRNA from 1 species
GAGGUAUUAGUAAAUUUAUUACAUGACUUUGUCAAGGUCAAAUUAUAGAACAUAAUCUAUAUACUUCA